rnacentral:rRNA from 1 species
GACGAACGCUGGCGGCGUGCUUAACACAUGCAAGUCGAACGAAGUGGCGAACGGGUGAGUAAUACGUGGGUAACCUGCCCUCCUUUUUGGGUUAAGCCUUGGAAACGUGGUCUAAUACCCAUUAAAGGGUGAUGGGCUCGGGGCCUAUCAGCUUGUUGGUGGGGUGAUGGCCUACCAAGGCGUGGACGGGUAGCUGGCCUGAUAGGGUAAACGGCAACAUUGGGACUGAGAUACGGCCCAGGCGCCGAAGGGGGGCAGAAGAGGGGGCAAUUGCACAAGGGGUGAAGGACUGAUGCAGCGACGACGCGUGGGGGAUGAGGGCUUUCGGGUUGUAAACCUGUUUAGCUAUCGAACGGGUAGGUGGAGAAGAAGCGCCGGCUAACUACGUGCCAGCAGCCGCGGUAAUUC